rnacentral:rRNA from 1 species
UACAGGGGGUGCAAACGUUGCUCGGAAUUAUUGGGCGUAAAGCGCGCGUAGGCGGCCUGGUAAGUCCGCUGUGAAAGUCAAAGGCUCAACCUUUGAAUGUCAGCGGAUACUGCCAGGCUAGAGUCCGGAAGAGGCGAGUGGAAUUCCUGGUGUAGCGGUGGAAUGCGCAGAUAUCAGGAGGAACACCAACGGCGAAGGCAGCUCGCUGGGACGGUACUGACGCUGAGGCGCGAAAGCGUGGGGAGCGAACAGG